rnacentral:rRNA from 1 species
UAGGGAAUCUUGCGCAAUGGGCGAAAGCCUGACGCAGCAACGCCGCGUGGGGGACGAAGGCUCUCGGGUCGUAAACCCCUUUCAGCAGGGACGAAAUUGACGGUACCUGCAGAAGAAGUCCCGGCCAACUACGUGCCAGCAGCCGCGGUAACACGUAGGGGACGAGCGUUGUCCGGAUUUACUGGGCGUAAAGAGCUCGUAGGCGGUUUGGUAAGUUGGGUGUGAAAACUCCAGGCUCAACCUGGAGACGCCACUCAAUACUGCCGUGACUAGAGUUCGGUAGAGGAGCAUGGAAUUCCUGGUGUAGCGGUGAAAUGCGCAGAUAUCAGGAGGAACACCAACGGCGAAGGCAGUGCUCUGGGCCGAAACUGACGCUGAGGAGCGAAAGCAUGGGGAUCAAACAGGAUUAGAUACCCCCGUAGUCC